UGUGGAGGCUAUAUACAGGGGUACCGGUACAGAGUCAAUGUGGAGGCUAUAUACAGGGGUACCGGUACAUAGCCAAUGUGGAGGCUAUAUACAGGGGGUACCGGUACAGAGUCAAUGUGGAGGCUAUAUACAGGGGGUACCGGUACAGAGUCAAUGUGGAGGCUAUAUACAGGGUAUUACGGUACAGAGUCAAUGUGGAGGCUAUAUACAGGGUGUUACGGUACAGAGUCAAUGUGGAGGCUAUAUACAGGGGUACCGGUACAGAGUCAAUGUGGAGGCUAUAUACAGGGUGUUACGGUACAGAGUCAAUGUGGAGG
ensembl:lncRNA